GUUUUAUUAUGUUUUCUUAGGAGCAAAUUUUUAAGAUCCAAAACAUGGAAUUGAAUAGUGAGGACCAAGUUAUUAGGAUCCGACACCUGGAAAGGAAAUGUCUGGAGAAAGCUAUUGAGCUUGAAAACAUCAAUAGAGAACUGCAA